rnacentral:rRNA from 1 species
UACGUAGGGUGCAAGCGUUAAUCGGAAUUACUGGGCGUAAAGCGUGCGCAGGCGGCUUUGCAAGACAGAUGUGAAAUCCCCGGGCUCAACCUGGGAACUGCAUUUGUGACUGCAAGGCUAGAGUACGGUAGGGGGGGAUGGAAUUCCGCGUGUAGCAGUGAAAUGCGUAGAUAUGCGGAGGAACACCGAUGGCGAAGGCAAUCCCCUGGACCUGUACUGACGCUCAUGCACGAAAGCGUGGGGAGCAAACAGG